rnacentral:rRNA from 1 species
CUACGGGAGGCAGCAGUCGAGGAUCUUCGUCAAUGGGCGAAAGCCUGAACGAGCGACGCCGCGUGCGGGAUGAAGGCCCUUGGGUUGUAAACCGCUGUCAGGGGGGAUGAAACCGUAAGGUUGACAGAGCCCCAGAGGAAGCACGGGCUAAGUUCGUGCCAGCAGCCGCGGUAAUACGAACUGUGCGAACGUUACUCGGAAUCACUGGGCUUACAGGGUGCGUAGGUGGCUUGUUAAGCAGGGUGUGAAAUCCCUCGGCUCAACCGAGGAACUGCGCUCUGAACUGGCGAGCUAGAGUAUGCUAGAGGUGAAUGGAACAUCCAGUGGAGCGGUGAAAUGUGUUGAUAUUGGAUGGAACACCAGAGGCGAAGGCGAUUCACUGGGGCAUAACUGACACUGAGGCACGAAAGCCAGGGGAGCAAACGGGAUUAGAUACCCGUGUAGUCC